rnacentral:tRNA from 1 species
GGGCCCCUAGCUCAAUGGCAGAGCCCCGAGCUUAUACCUCGGUCGUUCCAGGUUCGACUCCUGGGGGGCCCA